CCUACGGGAUGCAGCAGUGAGGAAUAUUGGUCAAUGGACGCAAGUCUGAACCAGCCAUGCCGCGUGCAGGAAGACGGCUCUAUGAGUUGUAAACUGCUUUUGUACGAGGGUAAACGCAGAUACGCGUAUCUUUCUGAAAGUAUCGUACGAAUAAGGAUCGGCUAACUCCGUGCCAGCAGCCGCGGUAAUACGGAGGAUUCAAGCGUUAUCCGGAUUUAUUGGGUUUAAAGGGUGCGUAGGCGGUCGGAUAAGUUAGAGGUGAAAUCCCGAGGCUCAACUUCGGAAUUGCCUCUGAUACUGUUCGGCUAGAGAGUAGUUGCGGUAGGCGGAAUGUAUGGUGUAGCGGUGAAAUGCUUAGAGAUCAUACAGAACACCAAUUGCGAAGGCAGCUUACCAAGCUACGUCUGACGUUGAGGCACGAAAGCGUGGGGAGCAAACAGGAUUAGAUACCCUUGUAGUC
rnacentral:rRNA from 1 species